AGAGUUUGAUCAUGGCUCAGGAUGAACGCUAGCGGCAGGCUUAACACAUGCAAGUCGAGGGAUUCAGCAAUGGAGACCGGCAAACGGGUGCGGAACACGUACAGAAUCUACCUUUAUCUGGGGCAUAGCCUUUGGAAACGAGGAUUAAUACCCCAUAAGAUCUUAUUGUGGCAUCACAAAGAGAUUAAAGAUCCGUCGGAUAGAGAUGACUGUGCGUACUAUUAGCUAGUUGGUAAGGUAACGGCUUACCAAGGCUACGAUAGUUAGCUGAUGUGAGAGCAUGAUCAGCCACACGGGCACUGAGACACGGGCCCGACUCCUACGGGAGGCAGCAGUGAGGAAUAUUGGUCAAUGGACGCAAGUCUGAACCAGCCAUGCCGCGUGAAGGAUGAAGGCGUUCUGCGUCGUAAACUUCUUUUAUCUGGGAAGAAACCUACCUUUUCUAAGGUAGCCGACGGUACCAGAGGAAUAAGCACCGGCUAACUCCGUGCCAGCAGCCGCGGUAAUACGGAGGGUGCGAGCGUUAUCCGGAUUUACUGGGUUUAAAGGGUGUGUAGGCGGAUCUUUAAGUCAGUGGUGAAAUCUUCAGGCUCAACCUGGAAACUGCCAUUGAUACUAUUGAUCUUGAAUACUGUGGAGGUGAGCGGAAUGUGUCAUGUAGCGGUGAAAUGCAUAGAGAUGACACAGAACACCGAUUGCGAAGGCAGCUCACUACGCAGUUAUUGACGCUGAGGCACGAAAGCGUGGGGAUCAAACAGGAUUAGAUACCCUAGUAGUCC
rnacentral:rRNA from 1 species